rnacentral:rRNA from 1 species
UCUUAAAUAGAGACCCGUAUGAAAGGCAAGACGAGGGUUUUACUGUCUCCCUUUUUGAGUCAAUGAAAUUGAUCUCCCCGUGCAGAAGCGGAGAUAAACACAUUAGACGAGAAGACCCUAUGGAGCUUUAGACACUAAAGCAGCCCACGUUAAGCACCCUUGAUUAAAAGACCAAACUAAUUGUAAUCUGCCCUACUGUC